ensembl:lncRNA
AUUAGCAUGUAGCUAGCAUAAGUAGCAAGUGACUAGCAUGCUGUUAACAUGACUAGCAUGUCUCUAGCAUGUUGCUAGCAUGACUAGCAUGUUUGUAGCAUGUUUCUAGCAUGUUUUUAGCAUGAUUAACAAAGUGACUAGCAUUUUGUUAUCAUGAUUAGCAAAGUGACUAGUAUUUUUUUAGCAUGAUUACCAAGUGACUAGCAUGUUUCUAGCAUGACUAGCAAGUGACUAGCAUGUUUCUAUCAUGUUUUUAGCAUGAUUAGCAAGUGACUAGCAUGUUGGUAGUAUGUCACUAGCAUGUUUUUAGCAUGAUUAGCAUGUCGCUAACAUGUUUCUAGCAUGAUUAGCAUGCGGCUAGCAUUUCUCUAGCAUGAUUAGCAAGUUGCUAGCAUGUUUCUAUCAUGUUUCUAGCAUUACUAGCAUGUUGCUAGUAUGUCACUAGCAUGUUGCUAGCAUGAUUAGCAUGUCGCUAGCAUGUUUGUAGCAUGAUUAGCAUGUUGCUAGCAUGAUUAGCAUGUUGUUAGCAUGUUUCUAACAUGAUUAGCAUGUUGUUUGUAUGUUGCUAACAUGUUUUUAGCAUGAUUAGUAUGCGACUAGCAUUUUGCUAGCAUGAUUAGCAUGCGACUAGCAUGUCACUAACAUGACUAGCAAAGUUACUAGCAUGUUGCUAGCUUGACUAGCGUGUCUCUAGCAUGUCUCUAGCAUGACUAGCAUGCCAUUAGCAUGAUUAGCAAGUGACUAGCAUGUUAUUAGCAUGUUUUUAGCAUGAUUAGCAAAGUUACUAGCAUGUUGUUACCAUGAUUAACAAGAGACUAGCAUGUUGUUAGCAUGAUUAGCAAGUGAUUAGCAUGUUGCUAGCAUGUAGCUAGCAUAAGUAGCAAGUGACUAGCAUGCUGUUAACAUGACUAGCAUGUAUCUAGCAUGUUGCUAGCAUGACUAGCAUGUCUGUAGCAUGUUUUUAGCAUGAUUAGCAAAUGACUAGCAUGUCGCUAGCAUGUUUUUAGCAUGAUUAGCAAGUGACUAGCAUGUUUUUAGCAUGAUUAGCGAGUGACUAGCAUGUCGCUAGCAUGUUUCUAGCAUGAUUAGCAAGUGACUAGCAUGUCACUAGCAUGAUUAGCAAGUUACUAGCAUGUCGCUAGCAUGUUUCUAGCAUGAUUAGCAAGUGACUAGCAUGUCACUA